rnacentral:lncRNA from 1 species
GUGUGCAAUGAUUUUUUGCGUCUGUGUUGAAUGCUCUUUGUGAUCUUCGUUUCCUUUUUCUUCGGAAAGGUUUGAACAUGUCUUGUUCUAUUUCGUCCCUUCACAUGGAUAUGAUCUCAAGCAGGGUCUGGAUGAACAUCAGUGUGCUGGGCGAAACUGGUUGCUCUGACUUCCGUUUUCAUGACUCAUGGAGAACCAAGCUGACAAUGUGCUGAUCAAACUCCCAGCUCCAGUUUGCAGAGCAGCCCUACUCCUUCAUUUUUGCUGUUUUGUGAUAGGUCUCUGUUAUGCCAAGCGUAUCAGCAUAAAUGACUAUAAGAUACUGAGCAGAAGACUUUGGACGUAAAUUUGGGUGGCUUUUGGAAGGACUAUAUAGCGA